rnacentral:rRNA from 1 species
GAACGCUGGCGGCGUGCAUAAUACAUGCAAGUCGAACGCACAGCGAAAGGUGCUUGCACCUUUCAAGUGAGUGGCGAACGGGUGAGUAACACGUGGACAACCUGCCUCAAGGCUGGGGAUAACAUUUGGAAACAGAUGCUAAUACCGAAUGAAACUUAGUGUCGCAUGACACAAAGUUAAAAGGCGCUUUGGCGUCACCUAGAGAUGGAUCCGCGGUGCAUUAGUUAGUUGGUGGGGUAAAGGCCUACCAAGACAAUGAUGCAUAGCCGAGUUGAGAGACUGAUCGGCCACAUUGGGACUGAGACACGGCCCAAACUCCUACGGGAGGCUGCAGUAGGGAAUCUUCCACAAUGGGCGAAAGCCUGAUGGAGCAACGCCGCGUGUGUGAUGAAGGCUUUCGGGUCGUAAAGCACUGUUGUAUGGGAAGAACAGCUAGAAUAGGGAAUGAUUUUAGUUUGACGGUACCAUACCAGAAAGGGACGGCUAAAUACGUGCCAGCAGCCGCGGUAAUACGUAUGUCCCGAGCGUUAUCCGGAUUUAUUGGGCGUAAAGCGAGCGCAGACGGUUGAUUAAGUCUGAUGUGAAAGCCCGGAGCUCAACUCCGGAAUGGCAUUGGAAACUGGUUAACUUGAGUGCAGUAGAGGUAAGUGGAACUCCAUGUGUAGCGGUGGAAUGCGUAGAUAUAUGGAAGAACACCAGUGGCGAAGGCGGCUUACUGGACUGUAACUGACGUUGAGGCUCGAAAGUGUGGGUAGCAAACAGGAUUAGAUACCCUGGUAGUCCACACCGUAAACGAUGAACACUAGGUGUUAGGAGGUUUCCGCCUCUUAGUGCCGAAGCUAACGCAUUAAGUG